rnacentral:rRNA from 1 species
UACGUAGGGAGCAAGCGUUGUCCGGAAUCAUUGGGCGUAAAGCGCGCGUAGGUGGCCCCAUAAGUCCGCUGUGAAAGUCAAAGGCUCAACCUUUGAAAGCCGGUGGAUACUGUGGGACUAGAGUACGGAAGAGGCGAGUGGAAUUCCUGGUGUAGCGGUGAAAUGCGCAGAUAGUCAGGAGGAACACCGAUGGCGAAGGCAGCUCGCUGGGACGGUACUGACGCUGAGACGCGAAAGCGUGGGGAGC